rnacentral:rRNA from 1 species
ACUUUGCAAUGUGCGAAAGCACGACAAGGUUAAUCCGAGUGCAACAUGCUGAAUGUAGCUUUUGGUAAAUGUAAAUAGUUUAUUGAAUAAGGGGAGGGAAAGUCUGGUGUCAGCCGCCGCGGUAAUACCAGCUCCCCGAGUGGUCGGGACGAUUAUUGGGCCUAAAGCAUCCGUAGCCUGUUCUGUAGGUCUUAUGUUAAAAUCAAUUGCUUAACAAUUGAACUGCAUGAGAUACCACAAAACUAGGAGGCGGGAGAGGUGGACGGUACUCCACGGGUAGGGGUAAAAUCCUCUGAACCGUGGAAGACCACCAGUGGCGAAGGCGGUCCACCAGAACGCGCUCGACGGUGAGGGAUGAAAGCUGGGGUAGCGAACCGGAUUAGAUACCCGGGUAGUCCCAGCUGUAAACGAUGCAAGCUAGGUGAUGCAUCAGCCACGUGUUGAUGCAGUGCCGCAGGGAAGCCGUUAAGCUUGCCGCCUGGGGAGUACGGUCGCAAGGCUGAAACUUAAAGGAAUUGGCGGGGGAGCACCACAAGGGGUGAAGCCUGCGGUUCAAUUGGAGUCAACGCCGGGAACCUUACCAGGAGAGACAGCAGAGUGAAGGUCAAGCUGAAGACUUUACCAGACAAGCUGAGAGGAGGCGCAUGGCCGUCGACAGCUCGUGCCGUGAGGCGUCCUGUUAAGUCAGGCAACGAGCGAGACCCUUGCCAUUAAUUGCUUCCAUCGAUCGAAAGGUUGGCGGAGCUAGUUAUUGGGACUGCCGUUGAUAAAACGGAGGAAGGAAGGGGCCACGGCAGGUCAGUAUGCCCCGAAACUCUUGGGCCACACGCGGGCUGCAAUGGUAGGCACAAUAGGUACCGAAUUCGAGAGAAUGAGGCAAUCCCAAAAUCCUACCCCAGUUGUGAUUGAGGGCUGCAACUCGCCCUCAUGAAUCUGGAAUCCCUAGUAACCGCGUGUCAACAUCGCGCGGUGAAUACGUCCCUGCUCCUUGCACACACCGCCCGUCGCUUCACCCGAGUUGGGUUUGGGGGAGAUAGUGUCUUAUUGACAUUAUC